rnacentral:rRNA from 1 species
CAAUAGCGUAUAUUAAAGUUGUUGCAGUUAAAAAGCUCGUAGUUGGAUUUCUGGUGGGAGCGAUCGGUCUGGCGCUUAGCGCGAGUACUUGCAUCGUCUCCGGCCAUCCUUGGGGAGAGUCUGUCUGGCAUUAAGUUGUCGGGCAGAGGAUCCUCAUCGUUUACUGUGAAAAAAUUAGAGUGUUCAAAGCAGGCUUAUGCCGUUGAAUAUAUUAGCAUGGAAUAAUAAGAUAGGACUUUGGUACUAUUUUGUUGGUUUGCGCACCAAAGUAAUGAUUAAUAGGGACAGUUGGGGGUGUUCGUAUUCCGUUGUCAGAGGUGAAAUUCUUGGAUUUACGGAAGACGAACUACUGCGAAAGCAUUUACCAAGGAUGUUUUCAUUAA